CGCCUCCUGCAACUAACUGAGUAUAGGAGGUCCAGCCUGCCCAGUGACUACGGGUUUAACGGCCGCGGUAUUUUGACCGUGCAAAGGUAGCGCAAUCACUUGUCUCUUAAAUAGAGACCUGUAUGAAUGGCUAGACGAGGGCUUAACUGUCUCCCCCCUUCAGUCAGUGAAAUUGAUCUAUCCGUGCAGAAGCGGGUAUACUACUACAAGACGAGAAGACCCUUUGGAGCUUAAGGUAUAAAAUUCAACCACGUUAAACGACUCUAUAAGAAGCAGGAACUUAGUGGCCGUGAAAUUUUACCUUCGGUUGGGGCGACCACGGAGUAAAAAUUAACCUCCGAGUGGACUGGGCCAAACCCCUAGAACUAAGAGAAACAUCUCUAAGCCACAGAACAUCUGACCAAUAAUGAUCCGACUACAAUAGUCGAUCAACGAACCAAGUUACCCUAGGGAUAACAGCGCAAUCCUCUCCCAGAGCCCAUAUCAACGAGAGGGUUUACGACCUCGAUGU
rnacentral:rRNA from 1 species